UUUGAGUGAGCGGCAAACGGGUGAGUAACGCGUGGGAAUCUACCCAUCUCUACGGAAUAACACAGAGAAAUUUGUGCUAAUACCGUAUACGUCCUUAGGGAGAAAGAUUUAUCGGAGAUGGAUGAGCCCGCGUUGGAUUAGCUAGUUGGUGAGGUAACGGCUCACCAAGGCGACGAUCCAUAGCUGGUCUGAGAGGAUGAUCAGCCACACUGGGACUGAGACACGGCCCAGACUCCUACGGGAGGCAGCAGUGGGGAAUAUUGGACAAUGGGGGCAACCCUGAUCCAGCCAUGCCGCGUGAGUGAUGAAGGCCCUAGGGUUGUAAAGCUCUUUCACCGGUGAAGAUAAUGACGGUAACCGGAGAAGAAGCCCCGGCUAACUUCGUGCCAGCAGCCGCGGUAAUACGAAGGGGGCUAGCGUUGU
rnacentral:rRNA from 1 species